rnacentral:rRNA from 1 species
UACGUAGGAUGCAAGCGUUGUCCGGAUUUACUGGGCGUAAAGCGCGCGCAGGCGGCACUCUAAGUACGUCGUGAAAUAUCCCGGCUCAACCGGGAGGGUGCGAUGUAGACUAGGGAGCUAGAGGUCGGUAGAGGGGGGGUGGAAUUGCUGGUGUAGCGGUGAAAGUGCGUAGAGAUCAGCAGGAACACCCGUGGCGAAGGCGGCCCCCUGGGCCGUACCUGACGCUGAGGCGCGAAGGCUAGGGGAGCGAACGGGG